UACGUAGGGCGCAAGCGUUAUCCGGAAUUAUUGGGCGUAAAGAGCUCGUAGGCGGUUUGUCGCGUCUGCCGUGAAAGCCCGGGGCUUAACUCCGGGUCUGCGGUGGAUACGGGCAGACUAGAGGCAGGUAGGGGAGAACGGAAUUCCCGGUGUAGCGGUGAAAUGCGCAGAUAUCAGGAGGAACACCGAUGGCGAAGGCAGAUCUCUGGGCCGUAACUGACGCUGAGGAGCGAAAGCGUGGGGAGCGAACAGG
rnacentral:rRNA from 1 species